UAACGCGGAGGAAGGUGGGGAUGACGUCAAAUCAUCAUGCCCCUUAUGUCUAGGGCUACACACGUGCUACAAUGGUCGGUACAAAAAGACGCAAAACCGUGAGGUGGAGCAAAACUGAAAAACCGAUCCCAGUUCGGAUUGUAGGCUGCAACUCGCCUACAUGAAGCCGGAGUUGCUAGUAAUCGCAAAUCAGAAUGUUGCGGUGAAUACGUUCCCGGGCCUUGUACACACCGCCCGUCACACCAUGAGAGUUGCCAACACCCGAAGUCCGUGAGCUAACCUUUUGGAGGCAGCGGCCGAAGGUGGGGGUAGCGAUUGGGGUGAAGUCGUAACAAGGUAGCCGUAGGAGAACCUGCGGCUGGAUCACCUCCUUU
rnacentral:rRNA from 1 species